AAGUGCAAGUUUAAUGAAUGCUUUCCCAGACACACUAAGUAUUAGACAUCCCCUAAUCCAGUCAAAUGGACACAUAAAAUUAACUGGACACUUGGUUCAAAUAAUUGUUAUAAAUUUGGUCCUAGAAAUGAAAGCAAGUACCUGACAUUGCAUUGGCAGAUGAUAAUGUAAAACAAAGUCAACCCAAGAGGAAAAAGAGCAGAAAACAGAGAAAGCAGCAUAGAAACUUAGGAAAGGAGGGAGGGAGAAUUUAAAGUGAGAGAGAGAGAGAGAGAGAGAGAGAGAGAGAGAGAGAGAGGGAGAAGGAAAGAGGCAGGAAAACCCAAGACAGCACAGUAAACCAUAUAUAUUAGUUGCCAUUUCAAAGGGCUAUGUGUCUGUAUUAAAUUUUUUUCCAACUAAGACUAAAAACAUAAUCAGUAUGCUGGGUUCAAGGGUACAUCUAAAACACAGGUGAUAAGGAGACCAAGAUUUGUAAAGUGAAUUAAAAAAAAUUGAACUUAAUGAUUUCAGAAAGCAUAGGUGUCAAUGGCCAAAACAUUAAAUGGUUUAAAAAGGAGUGUUUUUUUCUUAAUGCUUUCUAUUUCUGUACAAUCAGUGGUAGACUUUGGUGCACUAGUAUGAUUGCUUAAGAGGCACCGCAGGUUUGAGAGCAGGUAUAGAGUAUCUCAGGCUUGGCAGAGAAGCAUCCACUUACUACUUAGCUUCCACGUCCUCUUGGUUGCCAUGGCUCUCCCUCUAAUUGGCCAAUGUUUUGUUGAUGUUGAUCAAGGUGAAGGUGGUGGCGUAUCUUCCCACCAAAGGCCCCAGGUAACUGAACAGACAUUGAAUACCCAGCUCAGUGAAUCUUUGUCACCAGGUCUUUGAGCAGUUACGGGGUCCUGCAUUUUCCCUCCUUGUCUAAAUAUCAAACUUGAGAACUUUCUGGUCUUGCAGUUUCUCCAAACCUUGGGCUCCCUCUCCUGAGUACCCACAGACUUGGAAGUAUAAUUUAUAUUCCACCAGCUCCCACAUUAAGUUGUGGAAAUGGCUAGGCUUUCUUAGGAUUGCUCCAGGAAUCCUUGACUCAACUAUAUGAACCCAUGAAACCCAGCAUGACCUUGACUGACCCACCAAAAUGGCUUAUGUUUGUGACCCAGGUAAUGGCCACAGAUGAACAGAGUAUGAAAGUUAGUCAAAGUUCUCGCUAUCUUUGUUUGAAGGUUAGGAGAAUGAAGAGUGUCUCUCAGUUUGAUGAUUAAUAAAACCUAAGGAGUCCAACUCUAGACUACCUAGAGGUGUCUUGUUCCAGGGACAGGAAGUCUUCUGAGCAAGGACUACAGAAGCAAGCAAGACCAAGGACAUUGUCAGUAUCAUUUGGAUCCCUAGAUCCAACCAUGGCUGAAUGUCACACUUUGGAGAUCACAGUUCAGCUAGGAUUGACCCUACUUAACUAGUUCAUUUAAUGUAAUGUAUUAAUUAGAAUUGGGUUUGUGUUAUUUACAGUAAAGUAUUUCUAAAAAAAUUGUUUUUCAAAAUUUCUAACAAUGCAGUCAUUCACCAGAUAGAGAAUAAAAAUUAUCCCCAGGAAUUUUAAUAACAUACAGUUAGUCCUCCUUAACCACAACUUCUCUAUCUAUGGAAUUAACCAACCAAAGGUACAAACUACUUUGCCUAAAAAUGGCAUCUAUACUGAACACAUGGAUUUUUUUUCUUGUCCUUGUUUCCUAAACAAUAUGGAAUAACAAAUAUUUACACAGAGUUUACAUUCUGUUUGGUGGAGUGCUUGCCUAGCAUGUACAAAGCCCUGGCAUGUACCAGUUAGGGAUGGUGGUGCACACUUGAAAUCCCAGCACUGGAGAAGCAAGAACAGAAGGAUCAGAAGUUCAGCAUCAUCUUUGAUGAUAGAGCAAUUCCAAGGCAACUGGGGUACGUGAGAGCCUAAUGGAAGGAAGGGAGAAAAAAAGGAAGCAAGCAAGAAAGCAAGCAAGGAAGGAAGGAAGGAAGGAAGGAAGGAAAGAAGGAAGUAAGAAAGGAAGGAAGGGAGCAAGGAAGGAAGGAAGGAGAAAAAGGAAGGGAGGAGGGAAGGGAGAGAGGAAAAGGGGGAAGGAAAGAGACAGAAGGAAAGGGAAGGGAGGAGGGGGAGGACAUGGAGGAAGGAAGAAUGGAUAUGUGAAGACCCAUAAAGGUUUUGUGUGACUAUUGAUUUACUUUAUGUAGAGUCUUGAGUACCUGGUAUCUUGUUAUCUAUGGGAUCCCAGAACAACAGUUGCCUGAGGCUACUGAGGGAGAGUUGUAAUUAAUAAUGUACUAAUUGUGCACAAUCUUUGGAAGGCAAUGGGCUAGUAACAUGGACCAAUGAGAUGCCUGAGCGGGUAAAGGUACUUAGUGUCAAGCCUGAAGAGUGAAGUCCCAGCACUUGGGAGGUGGAAGCAGGAGGAUUUGGAAGUUAAAGGUCACCCUAAACUCCAUAGCAAGAGAACUUAUCUAGUAGAAAAAAAAUGUUCUCCUAGCUCACUCAGAACAGAAAAAUACUUCUCGGAUUAGAAACAGAGUGUGUGGGGGUUGGGGAGAGGGCAAGUGGUAAGAGCCCUUGGGUCCUGACCCAUAAACACAGUUCUGAGGAAUGGUCUCUGCCUAGAAAAGGGAAGCCUAACCAAUCCAGACUGAUAAUAUGCUAGAGAGUGCCUAGAGUGCCCUCGCCUCUGGGCACAUGAUGCUCAAUGCAUGAAGGCAAGAUUCAUCGACAGAUGUUGUUUCACACAAUAUAUGCACAAAUCAUCAUGACCAAGAAGAAAAUUGGGGAGGAAAGGGUUUACUCAGCUUACACUUCCACAUUGCUGUUCAUCACCAAAGGAAGUCAUAACAGGAACUCACGCAGGUCAGGAACUUGGAGGGAGGAAUGGAUGUAGAAACCACGGAGGGGUGCUGCUUACUGGAUUGCUUCUCCUGGCUUGUUCAGCUUGCUUUCUUAUAGAGCCCAGGACUACGAGCCCAGGGAUGGCACCACCCACAAUGGUCUCUCUCAGCCUUGAUCACUAACUCAGAAAAUGCCUUUCAGAUGGACCUCAUGGAGGCAUUUCCUCAAGGGAGGCUCCUUUCUCUGUGAUGACUCCAGCUUGUGUCAAGUUGACACACAAACCCAGCCAGUACAGAUGUCUUAGCAGGUGCCCACGGGAGUGGCUGACAGAUGUCCAUGGCGCUCUAUAAAUAAUACUGUUUAGAACAGAGAUGGGAACCUCAAGUUUAAUGGGGACUUGAAGUGUUGACUUACAGGAAAAAAGGGGGCUGUAUUUCUGCUAUAUUUGGAUUUGUGACUGAAAUUCAAAUUUAUUGUAUAUCUUAGUAACACCCUAGAAUGUUCUCGAAAGAGCCUGGAAAUGUUCAACUUUACUCUCUCAGCUCUACCUUCCCAGUGUCAAGGUCUCUCUCUGUGAAUGCAUAAUUUUCUAUAUUUUUUGAGGGGGGAUUUUGCAUUUCACUCACAAAGAUAGGACAUUAAUGUCCUUACCAUGCUGUUACUCCUUUUGUUCUGGGCGUUUUUCUCUCAGCGCCUGGAAGAACUUUCCUUCGCUCGUGUAUCACUCUACGCUCAAAAUCAGCUUACAAGACCACUUAUUACAUCGACGCAAUUUUGUCUGCGGGGUGAAUCCAAGGAUGAACCCUCAGAAUCUUUUCUUUUCUUUUAUUUCUUUGGUUAAAAACAGACAAGUGUAAGAAGCGGUGGGUCAAAGUCAUGCAUCUCAAAAGAGGAAAGAAAAACGCAUUGACGAUUCCAACAAGGUUGAAUGUCUGUUCACAGAAGGUAUCUACUGAAUAGAGACAUUUUCCUCUCAAACAUAUGUGCUUUUAUAUAAAACUUCUAGGUUUCCCUCUCACUCUUGGCUGGAGUGUAAUUGGGGGUGGUGGUGGUGAUUUGAGAGAUGCACACAUGUUCCUCUGCUCUAAACACAGACGAAGGUGGCUAAAUUCUAAAUGGAAGGUGAGUUGUAGCGUCUUCCCAUCUCCUUUGGUACUGUUGAUUUGGCUCUGGUACAGAGUGCGGAAGAAUUUGGCACAGUCCUUUCGUCUUUUGAUACCAUGUUUAGCGAACACUUGACCUCGAAUUAGGCAAGCAGCUUUCUAAGUUUACUUAAGCAGUGCCAGUUUAAUAAGACCUCUAUAAUCACAGCAAUUCUAAUGACAAGUUUGGGGGAAAUAUAUUAGGUGGAUCUAACCCGCUUCCUGAAGCCCCCAACCCCAGGCAGGAAUCUCCUCAUUGUUACAAACACAGAGAUGCUGCAUCUUCAGAACAAUGUGCUUUGCGUUCCCAUGAAAACGUGUUGUCUCAUUUACCUUCUCAUCUUGAUCCGUUCUAGACUCUGUCCGUCUGAGCCUCAACAGCCGUACCAAGUCAUGAAACACAUGGCCUCAUGCCUACACAAGAUGGCACCUGUCACCAGUCAACUAUGGGUGGGGACCAGCUCACCAGUGCCAGCUUUCUCUGCUAAACUGUUGGCUGCUGAUGGAUUUUGGGAGAGGGGAGGCCUAUACUGCAUUUGUGUACCCACUGAUGGGCCGAACCAGGCUCAGACGGGCCCAUUGCCACACAGACAUCCGUGGUUAAGCCUAGUGAGUCACAAAAAACAGAGUGAAAAGACAGGAAUAUGGGAAGUGAACGUGCAGGGAGGAGGGGCGUGUUGACAGGGUAAGGUGGGAGGUAACAGCAGAUGUGGGAUGAGUGGAAGCAGAC